UUUCCGUUGGUGAACCAGCGGAAGGAUCAUUACAGAGAUCGUGCCCUUCGGGGUAGACCUCCCACCCUGUGUUAUUUACGUAUGUUGCUUUGGCGGGCCGCCUCCGGGCUCUCGGCUUCGGCCGAGGUGUGCCCGCCAGAGAACCCACAACCCUGCGUUUAGUAUCAUCUGAGUAUUAUCAUAUAAGUUAAAACUUUCAACAACGGAUCUCUUGGUUCUG
rnacentral:misc_RNA from 1 species